UGCCAGCAGCCGCGGUAAUACGGGAGUGGCAAGCGUUAUCCGGAAUUACUGGGCGUAAAGCGUUCGCAGGCGGUUUUAUAAGUCAGAUGUGAAAUCCCCGAGCUCAACUUGGGAACUGCGUUUGAAACUGUAAGACUAGAGUGUGUCAGAGGGGGGUAGAAUUCCAUGUGUAGCAGUGAAAUGCGUAGAUAUGUGGAGGAAUACCAAUGGCGAAGGCAGCCCCCUGGGAUAGCACUGACGCUCAUGCACGAAAGCGUGGGGAGCAAACAGGAUUAGAUA
rnacentral:rRNA from 1 species